rnacentral:sRNA from 2 species
AAUAUGGAUUGUUAGGUGAGGCUCCUAUAUUAGAUACAUGCUACUGCCCAAAAAUAUCGAGAGAUGCCAAUGGGUCAACAGGUAUUACCGAAUUAAGGUUUUACUUAAUGUAGCUGAGUUUAACUCAAAGCUAUAUAGUGCUAAAGCUCAACGAAGGAUGGUUUAU